rnacentral:tRNA from 1 species
UGUAGUAGCUCAGUUGGUAGAGUGCUUGCCUCCCAAGCACAAGGCCCUGGGUUCAAUGCCCAGCACUAUAA